UACAGAGGGUGCGAGCGUUGUCCGGAAUCACUGGGCGUAAAGGGCGCGUAGGUGGCUUGGUAAGCGUGUGGUGAAAGUCCGGGGCUCAACCCCGGAUCGGCCAUGCGAACUGCCCGGCUGGAGCACGGUAGAGGCCAAUGGAAUUCCGGGUGUAGCGGUGGAAUGCGUAGAGAUCCGGAAGAACACCGGUGGCGAAGGCGGUUGGCUGGGCCGAUACUGACGCUGAGGAGCGAAAGCGAGGGGAGCAAACGGG
rnacentral:rRNA from 1 species